rnacentral:lncRNA from 1 species
CCUACCGAAGCCCUCCCAUGGCGUUGUUCCUCCCUGGUGCCGAGUCUCUCUCUGCCAAUCGCCCAUGGCGCCCAGCCGCUUGGCCUUCCUGGUACUCGCUCUCCCUCAGUGCCCUGUCCCUUGUACGACGCCCUUCCUGCUCCAGUUUGUAUUUUUUUAUAGCUGGCCGUUGUUCACCUCGCCGUCAUCGACCUCCCCUCGCCCUCAUCCUCUGCAGGGCCAGCCCUGAGGGUGUGCAGGGUAUGCCACCGCUCAGGGCCCCCAAUAUCCGUAGGACCCCGUAUACCUAGAUAAUGUCCAAAUACAUAUAUGUUACAGGUAAAUCUCUAUUCUCGUUUUUUGUUAUGUCUCUGAUUUUUUGGCAAUUAUCUCUUCGAGGUCGUGCAACAUUUUGCUAAUGACGAAUACUAAAUAUUAAUUGAUGCGGGAAGGUCGGAAGGUGUUGUACAUAUGUGCUUGUGGCGUUGCUCAAUUCUAGCCUACCGGAGGGUCCACCCUGAUAACCUACGUUGUUUAAUCCAAGUUUAGUUUGCUGAAAUUUGUUUCCAGAAAAUUUGCUCUAAUGUAUUUAAAUUUGGUUUACUGUGCAUUUUAAGGUUUAGGCUAGUUUGACAAAUUAAAAGUAAAAAACUCGCUCUCAAAGCAAAUAUAGAGUUAUAUUACAUAAUAUGUAUAAUUUUAUAACUCAUAAAAUAUUGUAACAGUCUCCAGUCAUAUCAUUUUAAAAAAAAAUGUGUAAAUCAUCAACUUCUUUUAUUUUUCAGAUAUCAUUUAAAGUUGAAAAAUAGCAGAAUCAAACUUUCGUAUAGGACCUCUAUGUAGAUUUUCGCUUAGGGCCCCCAAAAUGUCAGGACCGGCCCUGAUCCUCUGGCUGCCGCCCCUCCCUAUUCUUGGUGGUCGAGUCUUCUCCCAUGGAUGCUGGCCGUCGCUGCCCUCCCUGGUGCUCGACAAAAUGGGUGACCUACCUCAUUCUCGACCUUGCUGUGGUGGUCGGUCACGCCAUGGUCGUGGAUGCUCUACAUUCUCGCUAUCGCGUCUUUAAUUGCCGUUGGAAAGGAAGGUUUCAGGUUUCGGAGCUGAUGAAGUAAGCGAAGCUCGAACGACGCUCUCUAGGUGUCCGUCGGAUUUCCGAUGCCAGACGUCGUCCUCUCUGUUCCGUGUCUCCCUGCAUCUUCAUCGAUGUAGCAUCGGUCGUCAACCUCGCCGUGGCAGCUCUCAAACUAGGAGUGUUGGUGCAAAACCGUCGUCACCCCGUCAUUGCAGGUCGCUGCGCUAUCGUUUGCUUAUGUUUCAUCAUCUGCGCCAUGGCACUUGCUAUUGUCCCUAGUUUAAUUCUAUGUGUGGUUAAUGGUCGAAGUCUAGAUUGCAAAUGCCAAUUUUAAUGAAGGGUAUGUGUAGGCAUAUAUGUGAUGAGCUGUCGAAUUAAUGAUAUGUAAGAUAGGUCUAGUGUUUCUAUCGGCUAGUUGUCAUAUUCGACUAGAAUUAUGUGAGCCAAUUAUAUGGAUACAAUGAUGACUUGCUUUAGAAAUUGUCGUGUCGAUGUUCAGCAUCAGUGAAAUGUCAUAGAUGGGUCGUCGGUCAUUUAGAUUAAUAACCUUGUUUAGGUAAUCAAGUAAAAUCUGAUUGUGCUUGAGCUGAAUUUUUGCUACACGCAUCCUCAUUAUUGUGGUAAUAGUUGAGUGAAGCAAAUCAUGUUUUCUGUGAAUGUGUGAUAUAUAAAAGUUGUAGAUAAUUUCUUUAUCUUGCUGGUGUAAAAUAAUCAUGGCCAUAGGUCUAGUAGUUUAAAAGAUAUGAUUUUCUUAAGUCCAGUUUCAGAAUCUGUCCAAAAUUCUGUACAGGUUUCGAAAAUUGGAUUGUUUGGCUAAACUAAACUGAGAAUCAGCCCUUAGUAAUUAUAGAAGAAUUGUAGUACUUUUCUUAAGCUUUCCAACAAAUUUUGGAUCACCCUUUUUGGUGAUCUAUAAGUUAAGUUACAGCUGUUUGAAGUGGGAUCUCUGAAUCUGUCCAAAUUUGGACAGCAGAGCCUUUCUCAUGUCUUUUGACUUUGAUAUGUAUUGAAUUAACAUGUGAUGUUUAUAAAUGAAUUGUAAACAAUUCUAUUAGCUUUCUAAAAAUUUCUAGGAUCACCUGAUUUGGAUGCCUGAAACUCUAGUUAUGGAUUUUUUAAGUAAGUAGUCGAAUUCUGUCCAAAUCUGGAUAAAAAUUACGUUUAGUACAGUUUGACCUUUCUAAAGGUCGAAUCUUAUUAUGAUGAUAAUACAAAAGUUAUAGAGGACUUUAUAAGCUUUACAUAAAGUCCUAGUUUACUAUUUUUGGAUGCAUAUCUUGUGAGUUAUGAGCUAAACAAAUAGUUGCUGUUCUGCUGUCCAAAUUCAGCAAAUAUGAAAUGAUUGCUUGGAAUUUCUUUUGUGUGGGUAACUAGAUUUGGUUAGUUCUUGUCUUGAUUAAUAAAGUCUUGUAGUUGCAUAUGGUUAUUUCUUUUCUUUCUCAAUGCUCUACUUGUUAGAAUAUUUAGUGUGCUACUUUGUUUAAUUGGUAUGCUAUACGAGGUAGCUUAGAGAUAGUUGUUUAGAAAGUAAUAAAUUGUAUCUAUCUAUAUUUUAGUCCUAAAUGUCUAGUAUUGAUGAGUCUAAAUUUUGCUAGAUUUUCAGUGUUAUGAUCUAGCUAAAGAAAGUAUAGGAAUUAUGUAUGGUUUAUUAUUCUGAUGUUUGAAUUAGGUCUGAUUAAAACUGGAAGAUCCUGAUUGUUGUGUUAGAACGUCAUAGGUAUCUAUUGUUUCCCUAUAAGAGUUUUAAUGCAUGCUUUAAGUGUUUAAUCCUCGUCCAUAUAGUAUUAUGUUGUAGUAUGUUAUUCCUCUGUAUGUUCAUUCAUGUGCAUUAUGCAUAUCAUUUAGGUACGUUAAGUGAUCACGUGAUGCGGAAGAUCAGAGCCAAGUCAUUCCCAAGAUGAUGCAGAGAGUGGGCAUCUCCGCAAGACGAUGUCGUCAGUCGGACCAACCUAAAGAUGGAUAAUCUGAACGAGUGCCAAGACAAAGUGUGACGGAACCUCCCAAGUCAUUAGGCCCGCCUACAGUUGUCCUUGUCCAACGGACCUCGGACAACCCUGUAAAUGCACAUAAUCACUUGACAAGUUCGAUAUCUGUAUCCUUUACCUUUCCCAAGAGUGUUUCACCCGUCACGCAGAUAUUACAACACAUCGGAGGAACGAAUAAGCGGAAGCAAAUUACAAUAACUUAUCUUACAUUCAUUAAAAUAUAGAAAGAGUGUUAUGAUUACAUCACCAGGAUAUAAGAGUGCAUAAGUAUUAUUAUUACAACCAUGGGAGGCAAAAACCCCUCCCACAUAAAAGUAUAUUGUUUUUCAAAAGGAAAGACCACGUCCUUCUGCAACCACGUUACUGUUGAGGUUCGUCCUUGGGCACCACAUCCUUGGGCACCACCUUAGUGCAAAAACAGCAGAAGUCUGUUGUUUCAUCACCUACAACAACAUGGGUUUGAAAACCCUGAGUACGAAGUGUACUUUUGCAAGUCUUACCCGUCAAAAUAAAAGACUCUCAAGGAUAUGCUGGCUUAAGGGAGUCAAGGUAAGGCUUAAUCAAGAAUCAAGACUCUGUUUUGCAAAAUGCUUACUAAUAGUGGAUCCUUAAAAAUCCAGUUUUAUUAGCAAAUUAAGUUAUUACCUGUCACUAGAGUUCUUUCUACACUAGUUCAAGCACAUGGCC